rnacentral:lncRNA from 12 species
AAAACAGCCCAAAGAGCGUAAUGCGGAUGAAACAGGUGAAGAGACACACUGUUCAAGAAGACCAAUGAAAUACAAACCAUGGCCACAUUCUUGAUGUGACUUGGCGUGGAAAUCUCCUUAUCCCCUUCAUGUUGGGAUUCUAUCAGUUAGCGGGGUGUUCAUGUACCACAGAGGCUGCUCUCCAGGGUGAACUUGACUCUUCCCUGUUGCGGCCAAAGAACAUUCAUUCUGUGGAGAUAAGAAGCAACCCAUCUGCAUCCUUUCGAUGGAAGCAGGAAGCACACACAGCCCGGAAUACGAGGAGGAGGCCCCCACGGACAACUGGAGAAGGAGCAAAGCAACCAAGUGGUUCUUGAAGGGGAAUGGCUUAUGCCAUGAGGACCAAAAGGCUUCUGCCCAGAUGACUGCGAAUUUAUAAAAGUGGUUAGAAAUAAGGACUGGACAACUGGGGGUUUUUUCCUCCUGUUUUCUGUACCCAGAAUCUACACAAACAUCAAACCUAUUGGCUCUGGACAUUUUAGACGACGGGAGUACUAGAAGAACGACACUGUACUACUAAGGUGAGCAGCUGAACGCUCAACAGCAGUAUGGUCAUUUCAUAUCCAGGGGUUCAAAGAAUCUGGGGUUCAAUCAUUUUCCUUAACUGAUAAGCCAUGUUAUCCCAGAUCAAUGAUUUUUACCUCUUAGGCUUUACUUUUCUCAGCACAAUGGGAACAUUCACUUGGGAAACACUCCACUUGAGUUGUCCUUAGGAUUGCAUAAUAAUAAUUUAUUUGUGUGCACUUACUAUAUGCCCAGUGUAUACUAAAUGCUUUAUAUACAUAUUACCUCAUUUAAUUCACACAACCCCCUCUCAGAAGUAGGACUGCUAUUACCUCAGUUUUACAGAUGGGUAAGGUGAGGCACUGAGAGGUUAAGUAACAUGCCCAAAGUUAAAGCUGGUCAAUGUUGGAGCCUGAAUUCGAACUCAGGCAGACUUAUUCCAGAGCUUGUUCAUUUCUUAGUGGGCUACCAAAAAACUGAACAACGAUGACAAAAAGAGCAGACCCCCAACCCCCCAAAACCCAAACCAACAACCAAAAACAAAAAACAAAUCCUGGAAUAUCACUCAGCCAUUAGAAACGACAAAUACCCACCAUUUGCUUCGAUGUGGUUGGAACUGGAGGGUAUUAUGCUGAGUGAAGUAAGUCAAUCGGAGAAGGACAAACAUUAUAUGGUCUCAUUCAUUUGGGGAAUAUAAAAAUUAGUGAAAGGGAAUAAAGGGGAAAGGAGAGAAAAUGAGUGAAAAUAU